UACGAAGGGGGCUAGCGUUGUUCGGAAUCACUGGGCGUAAAGGGCGCGUAGGCGGCCGAUCAAGUCGGGGGUGAAAGCCUGUGGCUUAACCACAGAAUGGCCUUCGAUACUGUUUGGCUUGAGACCGGAAGAGGUUAGUGGAACUGCGAGUGUAGAGGUGAAAUUCGUAGAUAUUCGCAAGAACACCAGUGGCGAAGGCGGCUGACUGGUCCGGUUCUGACGCUGAGGCGCGAUAGCGUGGGGAUCAAACAGG
rnacentral:rRNA from 1 species